rnacentral:lncRNA from 1 species
UUUGAUCAAAGCACAUAACAGUUUAAAUGCCUUUUAGUUGCUCUGAAGACUGAAGUUACAGUACUUGACCUAAUGGGGUGUUUAUAUGGAGGCAAGCCAGCUCGGGUGCCUGAGCUAGCUCGCUUGGCCGAGAUCUAAUGUUGCUAGAUAAUUUAUACUAAUAUUCGUAUUGUGUGUAUAUGAGAACCAGGCUUGCUUGCCUAAGCAAGAUCUUGUUUAAUUUGUGAAGCCCGACAGAGCCCCAGAUCUCGCCUAGGUUGGCUGGUUUGCCUAAGCCGCUCAAUACGAAUAUAUUGUACUAAUUGUAGUAAAUAAGACUUUCUCAACAGAUUUUUGAUCUAUAAUUUUAUAAAUUAAUGCCUCUGUGAACAGUUGUGAUGGUCAUAACCAUGACAGUUUAUCGCGAUGAUUUGUUUUGGUGCCAGCCUGCUACAUGAUGAAAUUAGCUAGGCAAAGCCACCUAGCUCAGGUAACUGGGCUGGCUUGCUUCCAUAUAAACACCCCUAAGACAUUUAGUUUAUAAAAUAUUUUGAUCACAAAUACUUAUAUGAUGUAAACAAACUCAACUUUAGAAUAAUUACUAGUAAGUAUAUUUUCCACCCUAAUUGUAAGUAAAAGCUUGCAUAUAAGAACCUGUAAGUAAAAGCUUGUGUCUUGAGAUUCUCAUCUUUUAUUUCGGUAUUUACAGAAUAUUUAUAUUUUUAGCGCGGCCCAUGGAACGCACAUGAAAACAACGCGC